rnacentral:rRNA from 1 species
CCCGCUGAACUUAAGCAUAUCAAUAAGCGGAGGAAAAGAAACCAACAGGGAUUGCCCUAGUAACGGCGAGUGAAGCGGCAACAGCUCAAAUUUGAAAUCUGGCUCUCGGGCCCGAGUUGUAAUUUGUAGAGGAUGUUUCUGGCAAGGUGCCUUCCGAGUUCCCUGGAACGGGACGCCAUAGAGGGUGAGAGCCCCGUACGGUUGGUUGCCGCGCCUCUGUGAAACUCCUUCGACGAGUCGAGUAGUUUGGGAAUGCUGCUCUAAAUGGGAGGUAUACGUCUUCUAGAGCUAAAUACCGGCCAGAGACCGAUAGCGCACAAGUAGAGUGAUCGAAAGAUGAAAAGCACUUUGAAAAGAGGGUUAAAUAGUACGUGAAAUUGUUGAAAGGGAAGCACUUAUGACCAGACUUGGGCCGGUUGAUCAUCCGUCGUUCUCGGCGGUGCACUCUGCCGGCUCAGGCCAGCAUCAGUUUGGUCUGGGGGAUAAAGGUUUCGGGAAUGUGGCUCCUCCGGGAGUGUUAUAGCCCGUUGCGUAAUACCCUGGAUCAGACUGAGGUUCGCGCUCUGCAAGGAUGCUGGCGUAAUGGUCAUCAGUGACCCGUCUUGAAACACGG